rnacentral:rRNA from 1 species
UAAAGAAUUUCGGUAUGGGAUGGGGAUGCGUUCCAUUAGUUAGUUGGCGGGGUAACGGCCCACCAAGACAACGAUGGAUAGGGGUUCUGAGAGGAAGGUCCCCCACAUUGGAACUGAGACACGGUCCAAACUCCUACGGGAGGCAGCAGUGAGGAAUAUUGGUCAAUGGACGAGAGUCUGAACCAGCCAAGUAGCGUGAAGGAUGACUGCCCUAUGGGUUGUAAACUUCUUUUAUAUGGGAAUAAAAUGUUCCACGUGUGGGAUUUUGUAUGUACCAUAUGAAUAAGGAUCGGCUAACUCCGUGCCAGCAGCCGCGGUAAUACGGAGGAUCCGAGCGUUAUCCGGAUUUAUUGGGUUUAAAGGGAGCGUAGGUGGAUUGUUAAGUCAGUUGUGAAAGUUUGCGGCUCAACCGUAAAAUUGCAGUUGAAACUGGCAGUCUUGAGUACAGUAGAGGUGGGCGGAAUUCGUGGUGUAGCGGUGAAAUGCUUAGAUAUCACGAAGAACUCCGAUUGCGAAGGCAGCUCACUGGACUGCAACUGACACUGAGGCUCGAAAGUGUGGGUAUCAAACAGGAUUAGAUACCCUGGUAGUCCACACAGUAAACGAUGAAUACUCGCUGUUUGCGAUA